GAGCGGGGGCUACUCUUGGUUGCGGUGACCGGGGGCUACUCUUGGUUGCGGUGCGCAGGUUCUCACUUCAGUGGCUUUUCUUGUUGUGCAGCAUGGGCUCUAGGUGCGUGGGCUUCAGUAGUUGUGGCUCGUGGGCUCAGUAGUUGUGGCUCACAGGCUCUAAAGCGCAGGCUCAUGGCACACAGGCUUAGCUGCUCCGUGGCAUGUGGGAUCUUCCUGGACCAGGGCUCGAACCCAUGUCCCCUGCAUUGGCAGGCAGAUUCAUAACCACUGCGCCACGAGGGAAGUCCCUCAGACAGAGUUUUGAUACUGAAAACUAUCUUCAAAGUUAUGUUAGUGAAUGAAAUAGCCAUCAGGUUCAUAUCUGACUGGAGGCAAGGAUGUCAGUAACUUUGGGAAUCUCCAGCCUGCUUUCUCCUUUAAUCCACUGAGAAAUGGAUUUGUGAUCAUGGUACUCAGACUCAGACCAAACCCACUAUCAGAACCACACAGAUUAAAGAGUAGUCAGGAAAUUGAUAAGGUGAAUAGACUUUGACCUAGGUCUGGUCAAAUGCAUGUAGCUGACCUCCAAUUUACUUGGGCUCAAGUAAAUGCUUGGAAUGGACUGACAAUGUUUUGUAUACUAAUACUUGGCUAGAGGCAGAGCCUCCAGUGUACCAGAGUCCUGAGCACCAUUCUCAUCCUGGCCCUGCCAUUUACCCCAGUCACUAAUAUGGGCAACCAGUUCCACACAGGUGUCAUCUGACAGCACCUCAGCCCACACCCACACUAUGGAUCUCUAGAUUUUGCGCCAGGGUUUCUCUGACACCAGGAUCUGUGAUGCCUGUUGAAAGCUUCCUGGCAGUCACACAUGCACAAUUCAGAGGUGUUCAGCAAUCAUUACUUUUGAGGCUCCCCUUGGAUCGGAUGUUGUAGGUAGACAGAAAUAAGGACCCCAUUGUGGUGGAAGUGCAGAUCCAGUAGCAACACAGUUAAGGCUCUCACCUGUGGUGGACUGGGAUAAGCUACAGGUAGAAGGAGAAGCUUUGGGUUAUGCAGUUGCUGUGCACCUGAACAAUAUGGAAGCAAUGAUAAUGAUAAGAAAUGGGGAAUUCAUUGGCUUUUGCAAACUGCUUUGGAAAUCUUGAAAAGAGGAAAUUGAUGGAGUCAGGUUAACCAACAAUCAACUCAAGCGUACUGUGAACUCUAGAAGAUCUCCACGGCAAUGUUUAAAACACUUUAUCUCCUAGAGGUGCAGGGAAUAUUGUCUUGAAUAUUAAACCGAUAACUGAGUCAUAAGGUGACAAAGUCAAAAGGCGACAGAAUACAAAGCAUCAACAGGUCUCCUAUUUCAGUUAGGGUCCUUAAAGGAAAAGUUUAAGAUCUUAAGACCUGGGAUAGGGUAGACAAGUCUGAAAAUAUUGUCACUAGAUAUAUUUUAAUCCUCCAGGAGAGCAGAACCAGCCUUUUUCCCCCCAGCUAGAAGAGAACAGCCUCACCUGGCCAGGACACCCUGCAAAGAACUUACCUGAACCUUGCCUUGCAGAAUGAUGCUUGUCCUCCUUAAGAUCCUCUCCCACCUCCACUCUCUGCCUCCAGGAUAACUAGAGCCAGGGCUUGGCUCAAGCAGGAGGGGAAAUAUAUCCCAGCUCCAGUAGGAAAUAGUUUUACUGAAUGAAUUGAAGGCCAUGGUUAACGCAUUCAGCCAGGAACCUGGUUAUGCUAGUGGGAUUGAGUCUCGAGGAUGUCGGACCAGGUAGGGUGAAUGGAAAGCAGAGAAUUAAUUGACAUGACAGCCCUCUUCUUUGAUUUAAACUGUCCUGGCAAGGAAACUAUCCACGGCAAAGAUAGUUUCUUGAGGUUUGGACAAAAUAAGGGCCUACAAUAAAUAAAGUUCAGUUGCUGGAACUUACCUGACAUAGCUCUGAGAAAGCUCAAGACAAGUAGAAAUAUUAGAGUAGACUUAUUUUUUCUUGAUUAUUCAUUUAUGACAGAUCACAGAAAGUGUUCAUUAGGAAUUAACAGAGGCAAAAUGUAAUUUAAAUUUCUACAAGCAUCUAAGUUUUUUUAAAAAGUUUGUAGGAAAUACACAUAGAUUCCAUUUCACAUAACUGAAUUCCAUCAAGCUCUUUGAUUUUUGUCAUCAUCAUUGAAUGACCUAUACUGGCCAAUAAGGCAUGGUUUAUACUUGAACAGUGGUGACAAUUUUAAAAAAUUUUAGCGUGGUAAAAUAUACAUACAUACAACUUACCAUUUUAACAACUUUUAAGCCUAUUACUCAGUGGCAUUAAGUACAUUCACACUGUUGUGCAACCAUCACACUACCCAUCUCCAGAACACUUUCUGUGUUCCUGAUUAGACUGGCAUUCAGACAAAGAUUCAAGAGGAUUCCUGCAAAGACUUCUUGAGUUCUUUUUGUAUAACUCUCUCCUCUCAGGUACUCUGCCUCUAAAACUAUAGUUGCCUUGGUCUUCUUGAACUACAAUCUCUAUCUACCCAAUUCAGUGAGACUGUCACAUUCCAUAUAGUUUCCUCUGCCUAAAGCACAGCCUUGGAGCUACCUACAAGCAGAAAGCCUAUGCCAUGGUAGGUCUUGUCCCAUUCGUUUCCCUCUUCCCAGGGAUCACAAUCUUGUUUGACUCUUGUCCAGUGUUUGAAAACAAUUAUUUCCUAUAUUUUGCUUAGUUUUCUACUUGCUUAGGUUCAAAAGGUAAUUCCAGACUGGAUUAUUCCCUCAUGGCUGGAAGCAGUUAUCAGAAAGUUCUUCAAGUAACUCAGCUUAAGUGUCAGCUCAGGGAAAAUAUCCUGCUGUUAGGACACUGUCUUCCAGGAUAUUGUACAUAUGUGCUAAAACAAGAGCUGGUAUAUAGUGCCAUGUCCCCUGUGUCUAGCAACACUGGUCCAGGAAACACGAGGCAGAAGUAGCAUUGGCCCCCCACUCACCAACACUCCUUAUAAUCUAGUUAAAAUUUGUGUUUCCCAUUCCCACAAUUACAAUUCUGUUGUAGUAAUCAAUUUCUGUUGAAUUAAUCAUCCUACCUUUAAGUAGGAGAAUAUUUCCCUAGGGGAAAUGGUAGGCCUUCUACUGAACUUGAGGCUAUGACCUGUUAACUUUGGCCUCCUCAAGGCAGUAGACUAGCAAGCAGAGAAAGGUGUUCUAAUACUGGCAAGAAUAAUUGACUCUGAUUACCAUGAAAAGCUAAGGCUGCUCUUAAAUAAUGUGUGCAGGGAGGAGUAUUCUGGAACACAGGAGAUUCACCAGGAUAUCAACUGAUGAUUGAUCAGUGAUGAUGAAACAGGCAGUUGCAGCAGUCAUGGACUUACAAAGACAACUAAAGGGCCAGACUCCUUCGAGAUGAGGGUCUGAGUCAUCCAUUCAGGAAAGCAACCAAGAUCAGCCAAAGAACCAGCUGAGGGUAAGGGAAAUCUAGGGCAGACAGUAGGAAAGGGAGAUGACAAAUAUUAAUUAUGGACUAGGGACAUAUUGCAGCAGCAGGGAAUGUAACUUCUUCUACUAACCUUCUUGUAUUAAAUCUUUGUAGGGUUUGCAGCUGGCCAAAGUUUGAAGACCACUCUGGACAGAUUGGAUUUAAUGCAGAACAGAAAAGUAUAUAAGGACAAAGGUUGAACCCUAUUGGAAAUAUGUUGUGGUUUCAAAAUAAGUCCACAAAUUCUUUGCUGCUCCUUCAUUCAAAAGGUGACACCUAAUUCCCUUCCCCUUAAGUGUGGACUGUACUUAGUGACUCACUUCUAAGGAAUAGAAUGUGGUGCAAGUGACAGUGUAUGACUUCUGAGACGAGGUCAUAAAAGGCCUUGUGACCCCUCUCUCUCUCAUCACUCAUUAAAGGAAGCCAGUUGCCAUAUCAUAAGGACACUCUUAACAGCCCUACGUUGUGGGUGAACUAAUGUAGUGAUCUUUCAGCCCUAAUCAAGCUUUCAGAUAAAUGCAACCCUGGCUUGAAAUAUUGGAUGUAACAUCAUGAGAGACCCUGAGCCAGAACCACCAGUUAAGUUGCUCCUGAGUUACUGACCCAUAGAAACUCUUUCCUUUUCAUUGCCGACCAGGACUCCACUGCAUGAACACGCCAGUUUCCUUAUCCAUCCUUCUGUGAAUAUGCUGUUCCUAGUAUUUGACUAUUAUGAAUAAUGUCGCUGUGAACAUUCUUACCCAAAUCUGGCUGUAUAUAGAUAUUUUCACUGAGGAUAUGCAGGCUAAGACAGCAGAGAAAGCUGGAGAGCUGAGAAGGUACAACGCCAUUCCCUCCCCCGCUCCUAUGAAGAGCAAGGGCGAUGCUUCUCUCUUCUGGUGACGCCUCACCUCUCCUAGGUUAAUAGGUGUGCUUCCAUGUGAUGUCUGAGGGAGAGGGGGUGAAAAAUGCACCUCUGACUAGGAGUAUUCUAUAAGACCACAUGCAGUUAAAUUUCUAUAUCCUUCACAAUUAAAGAAAUCUUUUGUCUUUUUUUUUUUUUUUUUUGCGGUACUCAGGCCUCUCACUGUUGUGGCCUCUCCCGUUGCGGAGCACAGGCUCCGGGCGCGCAGGCUCAGCGGUCAUGGCUCACGGGCCCAGCCGCUCCGCCGCAUGUGGGAUCUUCCCGGACCGGGGCACGAACCCGUGUCCCCUGCAUCGGCAGGUGGACUCUCAACCACUGCGCCACCAGGGAAGCCCAAAUCUUUUGUCUUUUGACUCUGUUAUCACUGUUAGAAUCACUAAGAUGGCCAUUCACACUAAGUUCAAAUACAAAGGACACUGGUCUAAGAAACAGGCAGAGACAUGGCUUAGAAAAUAAAAUUCUUCUUUCAUUCAUCACCUGAACUUC